UACAGACGGUCCAAACGUUAUUCGGAAUCACUGGGCUUAAAGAGUUCGUAGGCGGUCAGGAAAGUGGGGUGUGAAAGCCCUCGGCUUAACCGAGGAAUUGCGCUCCAAACUCCCUGACUUGAGGAGGCUAGAGGUAAGCGGAACUGAUGGUGGAGCGGUGAAAUGCGUUGAUAUCAUCAGGAACACCGGAGGCGAAGGCGGCUUACUGGGGCCUUUCUGACGCUGAGGA
rnacentral:rRNA from 1 species